rnacentral:rRNA from 1 species
CUUACCUACGGGGCGCAGCAGUGGGGGAUAUUGCACAGUGGGGGGAACCCUGAUGCAGCGACGCCGCGUGGGUGAAGAAGCGCCUCGGCGCGUAAAGCCCUGUCAGCAGGGGAGAAAAUGACGGUACCUGAAGAAGAAGCCCCGGCUAACUACGUGCCAGCAGCCGCGGUAAUACGUAGGGGGCAAGCGUUAUCCGGAUUUACUGGGUGUAAAGGGAGCGUAGACGGCAGAGCAAGUCUGAAGUGAAAGUCCGCGGCCCAACUGCGGGACU